GGUACGCGUCGAGGCGAGUGUGACGUGCCGUAUGCGCCGAUGAUUUGAUAAACCGUCACGGUUGUAGUUGUUCUGUGCGAAAUAUGUCGCGAUUUUACAUGGCCUAACGACGGGACGAUAUUUCGGCAAUUCGUUGUACGCAUCAUAAGAGAAGUGAUUAACAUUAGAAAAAGACAAGAAUCAUGUUUUACGCACAUUUUGUGUUGGCCAAAAAGGGGCCUUUGGCCCGUAUAUGGCUGGCUGCUCAUUGGGACAAGAAAUUAACAAAAGCACAUGUGUUUGAAACCAACAUAGAAAAAUCAGUGGAUGGCAUUUUACAACCAAAGGUUAAAAUGGCGUUGAGAACAUCUGGUCAUUUAUUGCUGGGUGUAGUACGAAUCUAUUCAAGAAAAGCCAAAUAUUUAUUGGCUGAUUGUAAUGAGGCUUUUGUAAAAAUUAAAAUGGCCUUUAGGCCUGGAAUGGUAGAUCUGCCUGAGGAACAUAGAGAAGCAGCUGUAACAGCUAUUACUUUACCUGAAGUAUUCCACGAUUUUGAUACUGCUAUGCCUGAACUUAAGGAUGUCGAUAUUGAAGCUCAAUUUAGUUUGAAUCAAUCUAGAGCGGAAGAAAUCACAAUGAGAGAAGAUUAUGGCAGUCUGUCUUUAGUUACACAUGAUCAAGGUUUCGGUGAUAUGAGUUUUGAUGCGGAACCACCAGAAUUAUUACGACAUGGCAGUGGUAUAGAACCUUCAUUAGACCAAAGCCACAUGUUAUUUAGUGAUGGUCCAGGAAUAGAAACUGCAUUAGAACAGAAAGAAAAAGAGCCGGUUGCUGGGACAUCUACUACAACGCAACCUAUGGACAUUGAUACACCCAUCAGAGAUGAUGGUUUUGGUGGUCAUCUUGGCCAAGAUAUCAUAUCGGGAGGUCUCUUUGAAGGUGGUUUGUUUGAUGAAGCUCCGAUGGGUGAAGUACCUGUACCUGAGGUUAGUUCAAUAGCCGAGCAACAGGAAUCGGGAGUAGCUUCUGGAGCGGCUGCUUCUGUGCAUGAUGAAUCGGACGAAGACAUGGGCGAUCAUUUUGGUGGCCCGGCGUCUCCAAUGGGAGGCAUGAGCUCUGAUGGCUCUAGACCAGCUACACCAGCUGCAGUUGGAGAAGAAAUCGAAGGAAGAAUAAGCGUUGCUAGUCGACGCUUUACACCUGCUCCACCAGUUAUACCAGAAGAACAUGCUAUUGAUAACGUAGAAGAACCACCACCUUUACAAGAUCAAACCACAUUAUUGCAUGAUGAAGAAGAAAGCUUCGCACUGGCUCCAAUUGAUGCAUCCGCUUUGAAGGGUUUCACAAAAGCUAAACGCAAGCGUAAGCUCAUUGUUGACGAAGUGAAAAAUAUUUCCGGUGAAGAAAUGAAGGCACAAUUGUCUGAUACUAGUGAUAUUAUUACAACGUUGGACUUGGCACCACCUACGAAAAGAUUAAUGCACUGGAAGGAAACAGGUGGCGUAGAGAAGCUCUUUGCUCUGCCAGGAAGGCCUAUUCCAGCUCGUGUUUUGUUUAAAAAUUAUCAGAGACAUCUGACAAGCAAGUCUUACGAUCAUGAAGACUUUGGGCGACUCGGAGCUGAGGAAGAUGCUAUGUCUCUGGAACAAAUGAGAGAUGCUCCAGAAGUAGAAACAUCCUUUGAUCAAAGUAUUCUCAAUAAACGUACGGGGCGAAAACGAAAGACGCAGCAGGAUGAUGAGAUAAAGCAACCUGCUCAGCCACCUCAACCAACUCCGGCAGACGUCAGUCAACCGUCAAUGAACGUUGACGCGGUAGAAAUUCCGAGCAUAAUUGCGCGGCAUGGUCUUUCUUCGGAAUCUGUACCAGCCGAAGUACCCUUAUCGACAGAAGCAUCGGUUUCCGAUGUAAGUAGCAUUGUGCCUUCUGCGGAAUUAUCAGAAGUACCGCCAACUAUCGAAACACCGUUACUUGGUUCGGAAAUACCGCAAAUUGCACCAGCUGAAGUCAACUCGAUACUCGGCGCACAUGACGAGUCACAAGUACCAUCGGUGGCACAAGAAGACGCUGCCGCUAUGCAAACAUCUGAUUUACCGCAGAUGGAAAACAUGGGUUAUGACCAAGCGCAACCGCAAGUUUCGUACAUGGGUUAUGAUGAACAUCAUCCACCAGCCCAUACGCCUGGUGCAAUUUCCGAAAGAGGUCCCGCUACACCAUGGAAUCAUGAGGAUUACGAAUUUCCACCAUCAGUUGGACCUCAAGAGGAACAACAAGUGGAUGAAACUUAUGAACAGUUUGAAGAGCGCGUUCUCAACAAAAGAGCAGCGCAUAUGUAUCACGUUAUUAAGAGCAAAUUAGAUACCAAAGAUAAAUUAACACUAUCAGAGAUGGCAUUCAAAAAUAAUCGCAAGCAGGUUGCGCAAAAGUUUUAUACACUGUUAGUUUUGAAAAAAUUCCAAGUAUUAGAACUCAACCAAGAAUAUUCGUACGCUGAGAUUACAGUCACAAAAGGACCAAAAUUCGAAAACCCUGCAUUAUAAAGAAAUCAAUCAUAUCUGCAUCAUUCAUCAAUCCGAACAGGGUUUGUAAAUAAAAUUAGUGCAUAGUUAAAAAUUAUUUUACAAUGCAUGUACUAAAAUCAUUAGUCUGUAUAACUUCAUAAAUCUAUUACAAGAAGGUCCAAAACUACAGAUGAAUUGAAUAAGAAAUGAAAAUUAUCAAAUAAGUAAAUCAACUUAAUUAUAGUGCUAACUAUUUUCGGAAAGCAAGUAGUGUGUACUAUAAUGUCAGAAAAAAAAGAUUAUUUAAUGAUUUAGUGCACUUGUACAUCUGUCUUACAGAUUUACAAGGAGGUUACAAAAAAUGUACAAUAUAUUUUACCACAUUAAUAGUUUGUCAUUGAACAUUUACAAUACAAUUGUAAGUUUAUAUUGUAAAUAAACAUUUACUAUAUUGAAAUAAAUCAAUUCGUUAAAAUGUAAUCGUAAAAAGUAACAUACAAUUAGUAGUGUCAUUAAAUUAAAAAGAAUCAGUUAACUGCCAUGAUGUAAUAAACAUAUUGUAAAUAAUAUCUAUUUAACGAAUUAUCUAUUCACAAAAUAAAUAUUAUUUAUAUGUUAUAAACAUAUGUUUGUAAUAUGUUUAUAUUGUGUUUAUAAACGAUAUUUAAUCUCAUGAACAUACAUAUUGUAUAAUACUUAAAACUGUUAUUCCAUUAUUUUCCAUUAAUAAACUGUUAUGCUACAUUCAUAAUUUAUAAUACAUUUAUAAUUUAGAUACUAAAACAUUUCUUUAUAAUUCUAUAUGUGUACAUUUUAUAUGCGCAGUGCUAGAAAAACGUCAUUUAAGCUUAUUUUGAUAUUCUACAGCAAUUUUCAUUUUACUACUGUAUGUAGGAUUUAUGUAUGUUACCGUCAAAGCCAGGAUCAGCAAUCCUAAAGAUUGCCGAGGUUUGCCGGUAACAUAUAAAAUACACAAUUUUAUGAGUAAUAACGAUUACUUAUAUGUAUUAGAUUUUUUUACGAAGAUUAUAAUAUUUGUGUGUAAUACGUGUGAUUAAAAAUAUUUAAUUAUUUUAUUGUUAAGUAAUUAUACAGACAUGCGUUUUGGAUGGCACCCCAAGUAGUUUAGAUAAUAUCAAAUAUACAAUAUAUUAUCGAUGUAUUGUAAAUAUCAUAGUUAUUAUACUAACUGCAAAAUUUCUUUUAACAUAAAAGUUUAUUCAUACAAA
rnacentral:misc_RNA from 1 species